UACGAAGGGGGCUAGCGUUGUUCGGAUUUACUGGGCGUAAAGCGCACAUAGGCGGAUCUUUAAGUCAGAGGUGAAAUCCCAAGGCUCAACCUUGGAACUGCCUUUGAUACUGGGGAUCUUGAGUCCGGGAGAGGUGAGUGGAACUGCGAGUGUAGAGGUGAAAUUCGUAGAUAUUCGCAAGAACACCAGUGGCGAAGGCGGCUCACUGGCCCGGUACUGACGCUGAGGUGCGAAAGCGUGGGGAGCAAACAGG
rnacentral:rRNA from 1 species